rnacentral:rRNA from 1 species
AUUGAACGCUGGCGGCAGGCCUAACACAUGCAAGUCGAACGAGUGGCGGACGGGUGAGUAAUGUCUGGGAAACUGCCUGAUGGAGGGGGAUAACUCCUGGAAACGGUAGCUAAUACCGCAUACCAUCAGAUGUGCCAAGAUGGGAUUAGCUAGUUGGUGGGGUAACGGCGUCACAAGGCGACGAUCCCUAGCUGGUCUGAGAGGAUGACCAGCCAGACUGUAACUGCUACACGGUCCAGACUCCUACGUGAGGCAUCAGUGGGGAAUAUUGCACAAUGGGCGCAAGCCUGAUGCAGCCAUGCCGCGUGUAUGAAGACGGCCGUCGGGUUGUAAAGUACUUUCAGCGGGGAGGCGUUACCCGCAGAAGAAGCACCGGCUAACUCCGUGCCAGCAGCCGCGGUAAUUC